rnacentral:rRNA from 1 species
GAUGAACGCUCGCGGCAGGCCUAACACAUGCAAGUCGAGGGGGAAGUUACUUUCUGGUGACUGAGACCGGCGUACGUGUGCGUAACGCGUAUACAAUCUGCCUUUCACUGGGGGAUAGCCCGAAGAAAUUUGGAUUAAUACCUCAUAGUAUAUAGUGACGGCAUCGUUUUUAUCUUAAAGCUUAGGUGGUGAAUGAUGAGUAUGCGUUCUAUUAGCUAGUUGGAGAGGUAACGGCUCCCCAAGGCGAUGAUAGAUAGGGGUUCUGAGAGGGAUGUCCCCCACACUGGUACUGAGAUACGGACCAGACUCCUACGGGAGGCAGCAGUGAGGAAUGUUGGACAAUGGUCGGAAGACUGAUCCAGCCAUGCCGCGUGCAGGAUGAAGGUCUUAUGGAUGGUAAACUGCUUUUGGAAGGGAAGAAUAAGGGCUACGCGUAGUUUGAUGACGGUACCUGACGAAUAAGCAGCGGCUAACUCCGUG